GUGAACUGUGCUAUGGUCUACACAUUCCAUACAAGUACUUGUAUGGUAAGAAGACGGUGUAUUAUAGAUGCUGAAAUUGUUACAAACUGUGGCAGACCGACGUAAUGGAAUGUAGGGAGACGCAUAAAUGGCAGCUCCUUGUAUUAUAAAACGGUUAAUAAUUUGGUUGCAAAAUGUCGGAAUGGAAUAGCAUUCCCUACAAAGAAACUCAAUUCAUGUCCUGUUCUCUUUAAAGUUA